UACGUAGGGGGCUAGCGUUGUCCGGAUUUAUUGGGCGUAAAGAGCGUGUAGGCGGCCAGGUAGGUCUGCUGUGAAAACUCGAGGCUUAACCUCGAGAUGUCGGCGGAAACCAUCUGGCUAGAGUCCGGAAGAGGAGAGUGGAAUUCCUGGUGUAGCGGUGAAAUGCGCAGAUAUCAGGAAGAACACCCGUGGCGAAGGCGGCAUCCUGGACCAACACUGACACUGAGGAGCGAAAGCCAGGGGAGCAAACGGG
rnacentral:rRNA from 1 species